GGUUCACUAGCUCAGUUGGUAGAGCACCUGACUUUUAAUCAGGUUGUCCCGGGUUCGACCCCCGGGUGAGCCACCA
rnacentral:tRNA from 5 species